UCCGUAGGGAGCAAGCGUUGUCCGGAAUCAUUGGGCGUAAAGCGCGCGUAGGUGGCCUCAUAAGUCCGCUGUGAAAGUCAAAGGCUCAACCUUUGAAAGCCGGUGGAUACUGUGGGGCUAGAGUACGGAAGAGGCGAGUGGAAUUCCUGGUGUAGCGGUGGAAUGCGCAGAUAUCGGGAGGAACACCGGUGGCGAAGGCGGCGACCUGGGUCGAUACUGACGCUGAGGUGCGAAAGCGUGGGGAGCAAACAGG
rnacentral:rRNA from 1 species